CGUUAUGGCAGCUGUACGCGGGAGAUCUUCGGAUCUACCGGACACCGUCACGGUCUUGCACACCCGCGUACUGCUGCCACCCUA
rnacentral:antisense_RNA from 1 species